rnacentral:misc_RNA from 1 species
UGUGGGUGGCGAGCUUCCCGCGAUUGGUCAAUUAACAAGUGCAUUAGAAAAUAAUGAGGCUUCUCGUGUCGCGGAGCGCACGGUCACCUCUAACCUUGCACCCACGUAUAACCGCCAUGUGCAUCGCGCGCGCGUUUCAGCGUGCGCGCGCGCUAGUUCGCAACAAUACGAUUUAUUUACGUUGGUGCUCACCUGGAACGGGUAUAGAGAGGUUUUUCGCGUGCCACACGGGCCUACGGUAAGUCACCGUUAACGAGGCGUGAACGCGCCGCUGAAUUACGAUUGUUUUCCAUUUAGAAACGCGAAACGCACCACCGCCGCCGGUGACAACGUUGCGUAUAAUACGCGCGUAUCAGUCGAGCAAUAAUGGCGAGGUUACUUUGAAGCACGCCGGUACACACGAAUAUAGUGGGUUGUAC